AUGGCCUUGACCUCCACAAAGAACAUGAGUGUGUUGCUGUCUUCUCUUUCACAGCGGAUCCAGUGGCCUGCGGGAUGUGGUACUGGCAUAGUGGUCAAGCUUGGUUCUCCUGGGAAUGCACUUAUGAGAAUAUUUAGGCUCCCAUUGGAGCCAUGGUGUCUAUGUCCUCUGGAAGGUCAUGGAGCCCAUCGAUGCCGCCACACCUACCUGGAUGGCCAGCGGAGGGGAUGUGUUUUACUUGAUGCUCACAGACAGACAGCGACACUGGUUCCUGCGUGAUGCCAACCUCUGGGUUCUGGGGACUCUGUGCCAGCCUUGCCUCACUGUCCUGAGGUCAUGCUUCCCUGUCUUCUCCACUGACUGUGGUCCCUCUGAGAACAGGGACUGUCCUCUCUCUCGGUGACCCACGACCCAGCACUGUGCCUGGCUGUCAGAAGCCUGGAUGAUGUCUGAAUGAUGGCACUGGCAUCACCCCCAGCCUCUCCACCUCUCCCCCUACCCUCCUCUUCCUCCCCGAAUGGACUCAGAGAUGGAGUGAAGUUUGGCAGUUAAGAUCUCAGUCUCUGGAGUUAGGCAAACUGCCCUUCCUUGCCUUACUGAAUGUAUCCAAGCCUCACUUUCCACAUCUGUAACAUGGGAAUGAUAAGGGAGGGAACUCUCUUAUCCCAGAGUUUGGCACAAAAUAGGCAUUUCAUUAAAAAUGUUUGUGAAGGAUUACAAUGGUGAUGAUUCAUUAUCAGACAUGAUUUAAAGGCUGUAAACUUGACCUUAAGUGGCAGGUGGGUCACUGUUGCCAUCUUUCAGAUAGAUGCAGCAUCUCCAUCUCUCCCACUCCUCAAUUCUGUACCUGCGGGCGCCUUCCUGGGCUUUGGAGUGUGGCUAGGAGUCCAGGCAUCAGUUAUGGGCAUAAAGGGCUCAGCACUUCCUGGGUGCUCAGGCUACAUCUCUCCCACUCCUGCUCAAGUCUGCAAUUGCGAGCACCUUCCUGUGCUUUGGGGGUGUGGCUAGGAGUCCAGGCAUUAGUUAUGGGCAUAAAGGGCUCAGCACUUUCCAGGUGCUCAGGAGACAUGAGCCCCUGCUCUGGUCAGCAACACUGUGGUCACUCCUCUUCCCUGUCCCCAGCCUCAGUUUCUCCAUCUAAGAGGCUGCACAGCCGCCCCAUGAGGGACCGAGGCAGAGUUCAUCUUUGAGACUCUCCUUAGAAAAUAUCCAGAGGCUCCCCUCCC
rnacentral:lncRNA from 1 species